rnacentral:rRNA from 1 species
GACGAACCGUGCGAACGUUAUUCGGAAUCACUGGGCUUAAAGCGUGUGUAGGCGGACUUCUAAGUGCCUUGUGAAAUCCCACGGCUCACCCGUGGAACUGCUGGGCAUACUGGGAGUCUUGAGCCACUUAGGGGCAACUGGAACAAACGGUGGAGCGGUGAAAUGCGUAGAUAUCUGGAGGAAUACCGGUGGCGAAGGCGGCAUCCUGGACCGGCAUUGACGCUGAGGAGCGAAAGCUAGGGGAGCAAACGGG